UACGUAGGGUGCGAGCGUUUAAUCGGAAUUACUGGGCGUAAAGCGCGCGUAGGCGGCUCUGCAAGCCGGAUGUGAAAUCCCCGGGCUCAACCUGGGAACUGCAUUCGGGACUGCAUUGCUAGAGUAUGGGAGAGGGAAGUGGAAUUUACGGUGUAGCGGUGAAAUGCGUAGAUAUCGGAAGGAACAUCAGUGGCGAAAGCGACUUCCUGGACCAAUACUGACGCUCAUGUGCGAAAGCGUGGGAGCAAACAGG
rnacentral:rRNA from 1 species